rfam:Gossypium hirsutum cultivar TM-1 chromosome 18, whole genome shotgun sequence
UGUUAAAUAUUUCAUCCAUUUACAUUGUUAAAAAUUGGUGUCGCUGACAAAAUAACUAGAUAAUUACAUGUGGCAUGCUACGUAUACCUUACACUGAUGUAUAAGGACCAGUUUUUAACAGUGAAAACUGAUGUAAUUUUUAACA